GUGAGGAAUUUUCCGCAAUGGGCGAAAGCCUGACGGAGCAAUGCCGCGUGAAGGAUGAAGGCCUAUGGGUUGUAAACUUCUUUUCUCAGAAAAGAAUUAUGACGGUAUCUGAGGAAUAAGCAUCGGCUAACUCUGUGCCAGCAGCCGCGGUAAGACAGAGGAUGCAAGCGUUAUCCGGAAUGAUUGGGCGUAAAGCGUCUGUAGGUUGUUUAAAAAGUAUUCUGUCAAAGAUUAGGGCUUAACCCUAGAUAGGCAGAAUAAACGUUUAAGGUAGAGGUGUGUAGAGGCAGAGAGAAUUCCCGGUGGAGCGGUGAAAUGCGUAGAUAUCGGGAGGAACACCAAAGGCGAAGGCACUCUGCUGGGCCAAUACUAACACUGAGAGACGAAAGCGAGGGGAGCAAAUGGGAUUAGAUACCCGGGUAGUCC
rnacentral:rRNA from 1 species